ensembl:lncRNA
GUGAAAAGCCAUUAUACUUUAGAACUCUCAGUUCCUCCAACAGACUCUCUGUUUAGAACAGCUCUCUCAACGUCCUUUCCCCCUCUUUAAAAGCCAUCUUCUCUGGUUGCUAUGAGUGGACUUGUGAGUGGCUCAGCAUUGCCACUCACAAUCAGCCAUUGCUGAUUCUGAUUAAACCCAUUUUUGUUUUUGUUGGAGAAGUCAUUGGCAGUCGAAGGUCAACACUCCCCAUUUUGUGCUUUCCUGUCUCACGUGUUGUGGACACCUAGCGCCCUCACGGACUCUCCCAACCUAUUCAACAAGGAUCUGAAACUCAUUCACAUAUUAGUUGGACACCCUCUCUUAGAAAAUCUAACCUCCUCCUGGAUGUAAACAUUAUCAAGAGGUAGAGAAACAGAGCUUCAAUUCAGAGCUUGGAUGCUUUUGAAAUUAGUUG